AUACUUACCUGUUGGGGGGUGUGGCAUUUCAAGCAAUUCCAGCCCCGGGUGGAGUCUGUGCCAUUGCACUUCGGCACGUGAUGAAGCCCGUCACUGAUCCAAAAUGGAUCAGAUGGCCCAAGUAAUUUUUGGUAGCGAGGUUUAGCGUACGCGCUGACCUCUU